AACAACAUUGUCCUUGAAAGGAUCAUCACAGUGGAGCUGGGAGCUGUGCUCACCACAUUGACAUUAUGGUGGACAUACAGAGGCAGAAGCAAAGGUCAGUGUAUGAAAUGCACGGUGUUGUGCCUGGGGUUUCUGAGAUGCAGCUCAUGUGCCAUGCAUACCCCUGUGUUCAGAGCCUCUGCCCAUACAGGAGAAUCCUAGGCACAUGAGCCCAGCCGUCCAUGUGUUCCUCUGGAGCGGAUCUGUAUGAGGCUCUAAAAGAACAGAGUCCAAGAAACUGCAGGUGAUACUCCCUGACAUUGUGAGGGCACAUGAGCAGCAUGGUUAUGGACUCUCUGCUCCUCACACCGGUCACAGGGAAGUCACUCUGUCCAAGGAGCAACUUUUGAAGAACUUUCUUCCAGAUCUAUUGCCUGCCCCAAGGCCUCCCUCCUGCCUGGGUCAAUAGCAAAAGGCAGGAAUGGGAACAAGGACUUUUUAAAUCGUUUAACAUAUAUUCAUAUGAAUUUCUAAAAAAAAAAAUUCCUUCUCCUUUCAUUACAAAAUUUUGAUCAAUUUUAUAGUUUUAUCUAAUCCUUGGGUACAGAGAAAAAAUCCCCUGGUCAUCUUCAUUCUCUAAUGAUAAAGUCUCUAAGAUACCUUCCUUUUUCUUGCUAAUUACUGAAUAUUUGUGAAAAAUCCCUUCAUAUUUCAACCCUU
rnacentral:lncRNA from 1 species